UAUUUAUUUGAACUAUUUCACUUUGCUGCAUAUUCGGGUGGACAAACAGUUUGGCAUUUGUCAUGGCUGCCCGAGCGCCAGCCACUGCAAUCAAUCAAUCAGUCCGGCCACAGGCAUGGUCCGGACAUGUGAAAUAAAUAAAGAAACAGCAGUGCAUUUAUGUAUGUACAUUUAUCUCUCUACUGGUACAGCAUUGUGGUCUCUGCUGAAACAGAAUAAAUGGAGCAUAGGUAAAUACAGGCUUAACCCAUUGAAAGGG